rnacentral:ncRNA from 1 species
UCGAUGGCCCGAGGUAGAGCACUCAAUGGGCUAGGGUGGNNNNNNNUUCGCUUUACCAACCCCAGGGAAACUCCGAAUACAGGACGUCAUCCUUAGUACAGACAAACUGAUUAGGUGCUAAGAUCCAAAGUCGAGAGGGAAACAGCCCAGAUCGUACGCUAAGGUCCCUAAGCAAUCACUUAGUGGAAAAGGAAGUGAUCGAGCGAUGACAACCAGGAGGUGGGCUUGGAAGCAGCCAUCCUUUGAAGAAA